rnacentral:lncRNA from 1 species
CCUCCCCUUAUCUCCUGCUUCUCUACAACCUAUCUUUCACUCCUAUUCUCUCUAUCUUUCAUCCCGUUUCGACUACCUGACACAACCAGAAAUCGAACUUUAUCUCUACCAGAAAUCGAACCUUAUCUGUAUCAAUUAAGUCUUUUCAUGCAAGUGAAAAUUGAACCUGUCUCUAUCAACAAAGUCUUUUCGAAGCCGAAAUCAAAGCCUAUCACAUAGUCAGGUGGCUCAAAUUUUUAUGACCCAUAGGCAUCAUUACUCCAACAACUAGAUUUACAUGCAUACAUGAUUUACAUGCACAUGCAUAAAUACAUGAUGAUAUGAUUUAGGUGCAUUAAACAAAGUUUAAAUCAUACAUCAUUCAAAAUCAUGCAUCGUACGUUUACAAAUCAUGUAGAAGGUUCAUACCACAUCAAAGUAACUUUUUCAAAAAAACCCUUAAUCAAUUAAGGUUUAGUUAAUCGAUUAAAUUGUGCAAAAUAGAAACCUAUUAAUCGAUUAAGUUAAGGGUUAGUCGAUUAAUGAUAUUUACAAUUUCUGAAAUUUUGAUUUUUAAAGAAUCGUUAAACGAUUAAGUAGAUUGUUAAUUGAUUAACUAUAUCAGAAAAUAGAAUUGUAUUUUAAACCAACUUUUCCCAUUUGCUACAAAUAUUUCGUAACACAAAAUUCAGAUUGAUUUUCACUUCAUAUCAAAAGAUAGAUUUUCCAAAGUGUUUCUGAAAAAAGUAUUCUCAUACACAAAGAAAGAUAAGAGAAUACUUUAUGAAUCUUUAGAGAAGUAUUUCAAGAUUUUCAUAGUCAAAUCAAGUUUACAAAACCUUUCAUCUCACAUCUUAAUUUUGAGUUAUGCGAGACUUAGAAAGGUUUUAGGUCCUGGAAGUGUGUGUAUAUUCAACAUUUUUUAGGUGCAUUUACUCAUUUGUACACAUUGGACACGUUGGUAUUAACAUUUCUCUUUGGUAUGUGGUAUCACCACGAAUAAGAGAAAAGGUUUAGGAAACCCUGGUUAUAAGUGGUGAGGAACCAUCAGAAACUAGGUUCACUGUACAAGAUUCUUGGUAGAGAAGUUAGAAGUGGUGGGGCUCUCCACUUAUUCCUUAUCUCUAUACGUGUUUGCAUUGUUUGAUUUACUAUACUUGGCAUUAUAAUCUUUUUUGUGUUAAUUACAUAACCUGUUUUAUGCCAUUAACUGCAUAAUAUCAUGUAGUAGAUUGCAUACAAGUUUAGUCAAAUCUUUACAUCUUAGUGUAUAAAGAAAACUCAAUUAAGAUAUAUGUUAAUCGAUUAAACAUUGAGGAAAAUCAUAGAAUAUCUUUUUAAUCAAGAAAUAAUAAUCGAGUAACGAACCACCUAUUCAUCCCCUUCUAGGUGAAGUUUAGAGCCCUUAUAUGCUAACACAUACUACAUUGAAAAUUGUUGUAAUUAAAUAAACAAAAAAAUUAUAAAUAAUAUUAUAUCCUCCUAUAAAUUUAAGAUAUGCUCCUAAUUAUAGGUAAGUGAUUUGUGUCCCUUUAAACCCAAAUAAAGCUAACAUUUGUUAGUUCAAGUGACACAAUACUUUUUCUGAUCCAGAACAAAAUUUAAACUAAUUUAUUAAGAGGAUAUUACUUGCCCCAAAAUAUAUAUAUAUAUAUAUAUAAAAGAGCCCAUAUUCUUUUUUACUUUUUAAACUUACUCUUAAGUCUUAAUCAACAAACAACAAAAUUCAUACAUAAAAUAAUGCUGAUGGUAAAUGGGUCCACUGCACUUGCAUAUAAAAUUUUAAAGAAAGCUAAGUAAAGAAAAGACAAUGAAAGGUGGGCAUCGAAGGUAAUCUAAAAGGACUCUACACAUUGAAUCAUCAGCAACUAGUACUUUUUUUAUGAAAAUAUUCACUUAAAUUGGUUGAACCAAGACAUUGUUUGUCUUGGACAGUGACCCCUUUUGGCAUUUAUAAUGAUUAAUGACCAAGACUUGAGACUUGACUCUCUUUUCUUGUCCCUAUCUAUCCCAAUAAAACCUCCCCUUAUCUCCUGCUUCUCUACAACCUAUCUUUCACUCCUAUUCUCUCUAUCUUUCAUCCCGUUUCGACUACCUGACACAACCAGAAAUCGAACUUUAUCUCUACCAGAAAUCGAACCUUAUCUGUAUCAAUUAAGUCUUUUCAUGCAAGUGAAAAUUGAACCUGUCUCUAUCAACAAAGUCUUUUCGAAGCCGAAAUCAAAGCCUAUCACAUAGUCAGGUGGCUCAAAUUUUUAUGACCCAUAGGCAUCAUUACUCCAACAA